UUCAUGAAUUCGACGACGAGAGCUAUGUGUACGAAGGCGAUGAUCUGGGGGUGACCCUGGAUGAGGACACAACCACCUUCAAGCUCUGGAGCCCGGUGGCCACCGAAGCCCACGUGCGGGUCUAUGACCAUCCCUGGGGUUCCGAUGACUCUUUCAGCAGCUUUGAAUUGACCCGGCCCGACGGCAGCGGGGUCAUGGAAGUGACGGUUCCCGGAAACCUUCAUGGUUUCUGGUAUCUCUACGAAAUGACGAUCUAUGGCGAGACCUGGCUCACCCCCGACCUCUACGCCACGGCCAUGAGCAGCAACAGCCGCCGAAGCGCCAUUGUCGAUCUGGCGGUGACCGAUCCGGUGGGCUGGGACCAGGACCAGUAUCCCGACUUUCCCACCAUGAGCACGGGGGU
rnacentral:rRNA from 1 species